AGAGUUUGAUCCUGGCUCAGGAUGAACGCUGGCGGUAUGCCUUAUACAUGCAAGUCGUACGAGAGUUUUUAACUCUAGUGGCGGACGGGUGAGUAACACGUAAGAAUUUGCCUUUAGGAGGGGGACAACAACUGGAAACGGUUGCUAAUACCCCAUAUGCUUUCGAGUGAAAUGGAUUUCCGCCUAAAGAGAAGCUUGCGGCUGAUUAGCUUGUUGGUAGGGUAAUGGCCUACCAAGGCGACGAUCAGUAUCUGGUUUGAGAGGACGAUCAGACACACUGGAACUGAGACACGGUCCAGACUCCUACGGGAGGCAGCAGUAGGGAAUUUUCCGCAAUGGGCGAAAGCCUGACGGAGCAAUACCGCGUGAGGGAUGACUGCCUAUGGGUUGUAAACCUCUUUUUUCAGGGAGGAAUAAAUGACGUGUACCUGAAGAAUAAGCAUCGGCUAACUCCGUGCCAGCAGCCGCGGUAAGACGGAGGAUGCAAGUGUUAUCCGGAAUCACUGGGCGUAAAGCGUCUGUAGGUGGCUCGACAAGUCAACUGUUAAAUCUUGAAGCUCAACUUCGAAAUCGCAGUCGAAACUAUCGAACUAGAGUAUAGUAGAGGUAAAGGGAAUUUCCAGUGGAGCGGUGAAAUGCGUAGAGAUUGGAAAGAACACCGAUGGCGAAGGCACUUUACUGGGCUAUUACUGACACUCAGAGACGAAAGCUAGGGUAGCAAAUGGGAUUAGAUACCCCAGUAGUCCUAGCCGUAAACAAUGGAUACUAGGUGUUGAACAGAUCGACCUGUGCAGUACCAAAGCUAACGCGUUAAGUAUCCCGCCUGGGAAGUAUGCACGCAAGUGUGAAACUCAA
rnacentral:rRNA from 1 species